AGGUUAAGUUAAUAAGGGCGCACGGUGGAUGCCUUGGCACUAGGAGCCGACGAAGGACGUGACAAACGACGAUAUGCCUUGGGUAGCUGUAAGUAAGCGAUGAUCCAGGGAUUUCCGAAUGGGGGAACCCAACAGGUAGUACCUGUUACCCACAUCUGUUAAGGAUGUGAGGAGGAAGACGCAGUGAACUGAAACAUCUAAGUAGCUGCAGGAAGAGAAAGCAAAAGCGAUUGCCUUAGUAGCGGCGAGCGAAACGGCAGGAGGGCAAACCGAAGAGUUUACUCUUCGGGGUUGUAGGACUGCAAUGUGGACUCAAAGAUUAUAGAAGAAUGAUUUGGGAAGAUCAGCCAAAGAGAGUAAUAGCCUCGUAUUUAAAAUAGUCUUUGUACCUAGCAGUAUCCUGAGUACGGCGGGACACGUGAAAUCCCGUCGGAAUCUGGGAGGACCAUCUCCCAACCCUAAAUACUCCCUAGUGACCGAUAGUGAACCAGUACCGUGAGGGAAAGGUGAAAAGCACCCCGGGAGGGGAGUGAAAUAGAACCUGAAACCGUGUGCCUACAACAAGUUCGAGCCCGUUAAUGGGUGAGAGCGUGCCUUUUGUAGAAUGAACCGGCGAGUUACGUUAUGAUGCGAGGUUAAGUUGAAGAGACGGAGCCGUAGGGAAACCGAGUCUGAAUAGGGCGCCUUAGUAUCAUGACGUAGACCCGAAACCAUGUGACCUACCCAUGAGCAGGUUGAAGGUGCGGUAAGACGCACUGGAGGACCGAACCAGGGCACGUUGAAAAGUGCUUGGAUGACUUGUGGGUAGCGGAGAAAUUCCAAACGAACUUGGAGAUAGCUGGUUCUCUCCGAAAUAGCUUUAGGGCUAGCGUCGACAUUAGAGAUUCUUGGAGGUAGAGCACUGUUUGGGUGAGGGGUCCAUCCCGGAUUACCAAUCUCAGAUAAACUCCGAAUGCCAAUGAAUUAUGGUCGGCAGUCAGACUGCGAGUGCUAAGAUCCGUAGUCGAAAGGGAAACAGCCCAGACCACCAGCUAAGGUCCCAAAAUAAUUGUUAAGUGGAAAAGGAUGUGGGGUUGCACAGACAACUAGGAUGUUAGCUUAGAAGCAGCUAUUCAUUCAAAGAGUGCGUAAUAGCUCACUAGUCGAGUGACCCUGCGCCGAAAAUGUACCGGGGCUAAAACAAUUUACCGAAGCUGUGGAUACCUUUAUAGGUAUGGUAGGAGAGCGUUCUAUGUGUGAUGAAGGUAUACCGUGAGGAGUGCUGGAACGCAUAGAAGUGAGAAUGCCGGUAUGAGUAGCGAAAGACAGGUGAGAAUCCUGUCCACCGUAAGACUAAGGUUUCCAGGGGAAGGCUCGUCCGCCCUGGGUUAGUCGGGACCUAAGGAGAGACCGAAAGGUGUAUCCGAUGGACAACAGGUUGAUAUUCCUGUACUAGAGUAUGUAGUGAUGGAGGGACGCAGUAGGCUAACUAAAGCAGACGAUUGGAAGAGUCUGUCUAAGCAGUGAGGUGUGAAUUGAGUCAAAUGCUUAAUUCUAUAACAUUGAGCUGUGAUGGGGAGCGAAGUUUAGUAGCGAAGUUAGUGACGUCACACUGCCAAGAAAAGCUUCUAGCGUUUAANNAAGUCAGCCGCAGUGAAUAGGCCCAAGCAACUGUUUAUCAAAAACACAGCUCUCUGCUAAAUCGUAAGAUGAUGUAUAGGGGGUGACGCCUGCCCGGUGCUGGAAGGUUAAGAGGAGUGCUUAGCGUAAGCGAAGGUAUGAAUUGAAGCCCCAGUAAACGGCGGCCGUAACUAUAACGGUCCUAAGGUAGCGAAAUUCCUUGUCGGGUAAGUUCCGACCCGCACGAAAGGCGUAAUGAUUUGGGCACUGUCUCAACGAGAGACUCGGUGAAAUUUUAGUACCUGUGAAGAUGCAGGUUACCCGCGACAGGACGGAAAGACCCCAUGGAGCUUUACUGCAGUUUGAUAUUGAGUGUCUGUACCACAUGUACAGGAUAGGUAGGAGUCUAAGAGAUCGGGACGCCAGUUUCGAAGGAGACGCUGUUGGGAUACUACCCUUGUGUUAUGGCCACUCUAACCCAGAUAGGUGAUCCCUAUCGGAGACAGUGUCUGACGGGCAGUUUGACUGGGGCGGUCGCCUCCUAAAAGGUAACGGAGGCGCCCAAAGGUUCCCUCAGAAUGGUUGGAAAUCAUUCGCAGAGUGUAAAGGUAUAAGGGAGCUUGACUGCGAGAGCUACAACUCGAGCAGGGACGAAAGUCGGGCUUAGUGAUCCGGUGGUUCCGUAUGGAAGGGCCAUCGCUCAACGGAUAAAAGCUACCCUGGGGAUAACAGGCUUAUCUCCCCCAAGAGUUCACAUCGACGGGGAGGUUUGGCACCUCGAUGUCGGCUCGUCGCAUCCUGGGGCUGUAGUCGGUCCCAAGGGUUGGGCUGUUCGCCCAUUAAAGCGGCACGCGAGCUGGGUUCAGAACGUCGUGAGACAGUUCGGUCCCUAUCCGUCGCGGGCGUAGGAAAUUUGAGAGGAUCUGCUCCUAGUACGAGAGGACCAGAGUGGACUUACCGCUGGUGUACCAGUUGUCUUGCCAAAGGCAUCGCUGGGUAGCUAUGUAGGGAAGGGAUAAACGCUGAAAGCAUCUAAGUGUGAAACCCACCUCAAGAUGAGAUUUCCCAUGAUUAUAUAUCAGUAAGAGCCCUGAGAGAUGAUCAGGUAGAUAGGUUAGAAGUGGAAGUGUGGCGACACAUGUAGCGGACUAAUACUAAUAGCUCGAGGACUUAUCCAAA
rnacentral:rRNA from 1 species